ACGUCACGGUGCAGGUUAUUGGCAGCUCUACGGAGCUAUAAAAACAGGAGCAGGCACGGUUACCUGGGAUGCGUCACUUGGUUACUUGCCGCGUCACUAACGCGCUUCCGUCACUUCCCGGAACUAGAUGUGAGUGCUUGAGACGGUGUCGUGACGGCCUGUAAUUAUUCCAGUCGGCGUGCUCCGCGUUUGUAUGACUGCAGUGCUGUCCUGUUUCCAAAAGGGUUUUCAAUCCGGUUUCCAGAUCUGUUUCCAAACCUGUUUCUAAGUUUAUCUUUUGGUUAUUUUCCUUUUGUGGUUGUUCCAUAUUGUUUUGUCUGUUUUUUUAGUUUUACAAUAUAUUAUUGUUGAAGUAUUUCAUUUGAAAUUUUGAUUUGAUUCUUUGGUUUGCUGCCGUUCUUCAGUUGCACUUGAUUUCGUAUUGCUUCUGGGGUUUGAACAGUUAAUUUGGAUUUUGAUUUCUUAAGUUACUUUUUAUCCAACUGUGUUGGAUUUAGUUUUGAUUUAUAUAAUUUGGCUACAAAUUUAUUUUCCCUCUCACAUUUUAAUUUGUAUUUUGUGGAAAUUUGAUUUAUUGGAGCAACUAUUUAUUGGUUGUGAAAUUUUAAUUAUAUACUUUUGUUUUUUGAGUUGACUCAGUCUUUAAUGUGACUGUGGUUGAUGCCAUAUCUAUCUUGGCAGGGCCUGAGCACUAGGGGUGAAGGACUGGUUUUUGGUGGUGGUAUUUCCUCACAAGCGUGCAGUGACCAUCUCACUGGGUGCAUGUGUGUACACAAUGAAGUACGGUGAUUUACCUAUGAGUGUUGUCUGUUUAUCUGCUUUCUAUACUGGUAAGCUCUAGUCCCUGUCUCUCAAUUCAUUCAAGAACGAGAUCUGUAGAUUGUUUGGCUGAAGAAUGUUUCUUUAUUUAUUUUAAUGUUUUAAUGAUGUCAAUAAAGAGAACUUUGUAUCGUUA